UACGAAGGGGGCUAGCGUUGCUCGGAAUCACUGGGCGUAAAGCGCACGUAGGCGGCUUCUUAAGUCAGGGGUGAAAUCCUGGAGCUCAACUCCAGAACUGCCUUUGAUACUGAGGAGCUUGAGUCCGGGAAAGGUGAGUGGAACUGCGAGUGUAGAGGUGAAAUUCGUAGAUAUUCGCAAGAACACCAGUGGCGAAGGCGGCUCACUGGCCCGGUACUGACGCUGAGGUGCGAAAGCGUGGGGAGCAAACAGG
rnacentral:rRNA from 1 species